rnacentral:rRNA from 1 species
UCGGGAAUAUUGGGCAAUGGGCGCAAGCCUGACCCAGCGACGCCGCGUGAGGGAUGAAGGCCUUCGGGUCGUAAACCUCUGUCGGGAGGGAAGAAUGGCGGUGAAGCGAAUAGUUUCGCUGUCUGACGGUACCUCCAAAGGAAGCGCCGGCUAACUCCGUGCCAGCAGCCGCGGUAAUACGGAGGGCGCAAGCGUUGUUCGGAAUCACUGGGCGUAAAGCGCGUGUAGGCGGCCGGGCAAGUCGGAUGUGAAAUCCCGAGGCUCAACCUCGGAACUGCAUUCGAAACUGCUCGGCUCGAGUCCCGGAGAGGAUGGGCAGAAUUCCCGGUGUAGGGGUGAAAUCCGUAGAUAUCCGGAGGAAUACCAGUGGCGAAGGCGGCCAUCUGGACGGUGACUGACGCUGAGACGCGAAAGCGUGGGGAGCAAACAGGAUUAGAGUACCCUGGUAGUCCACGCCGUAAACGGUGAGUGCUAGACGUCGCGGGUAUU